rnacentral:sRNA from 1 species
GGUUUUGACUGGUGUCUCUGUCCUCUCAAUUAGGUCGCUGAGAUUACGGGUGUUGUGGAAACCGCCAAAGUUUACCAACUAGGCGGCACCAGAACAAACAAAGGGCUGCAACUACGGCAUGGCAAUGACCAACGCGUGUUCCGUUUAGAGUUUGUCUCAAACCAAGAAUUCACCGAAAGUGAGUUUAUGAAGUGGAAAGAAGCGAUGUUCUCUGCUGGCAUGCAGUUGCCCACUCUAGAUGAAAUCAAUAAAAAGGAAUUAUCUAUUAAAGAAGCUCUUAAUUAUAAAUUCAAUGAUCAGGACAUUGAAGAGAUUGUAAAAGAGAAAGAAAGGUUCAGAAAAGCUCCACCCAACUACGCUAUGAAGAAGACUCAGCUACUGAAGGAAAAGGCCAUGGCUGAGGACCUGGGGGAUCAGGACAAGGCCAAACAAAUCCAAGAUCAACUGAAUGAGCUGGAGGAACGGGCAGAGGCCC